GGCCAGAACUCUGGGUGUGGUAGCUUGCCUUAGUGACACACCUGCUCAUUAUCUGUGUUUCAUCUCUACGCUCUAGCUGACAGUUGGUUCUGGUAAAUGGCAACAAUGCUACAACUACCAAAUAAAAUGCUGGACAGACUGACAGAAGAUAUCUCUUCAUCUUAGAAGCUGACUCUUACAUGAAUCUGGCAACCACAGAUUUCAUAGAAAGAAGAUUAUGGUGAGCACAAGGAAAGCAAGUGCAUUCCUGUGUCCAGGAGACAAAUACGUGAUGCAGAAACUGGAUGGACCAAAAAGAGGAGGUGCAUCACUGAGUCUGCCAAUCACAAAGGAAAAAGAACUGACAAGAACAUGUUGGCUGCUAUUACUUCAUGAAUUAUUUAGACUGCAGUAAACAAGAAAUACAUCUAUAUGUCCAUUGAAGAGAAGCUGAAUGGAAAAAACAGGAUUAAGAAGUGAUGAUAAGUAGAUAAUCCUGAACUUCUUAUAAAUAAACAAGAUUCACUUUACUGCUUCAGUGGUUCUUCUUGAUUAAAACUUCUACAUAAGAAGAUGUGGGCAGAAUGACACAGAAGUACAUUACCACACUUGAAGACGUAUGGCAACAUAGAUUACUGCUAAACCAGUUUCUCUUUUUACUGACUUUUGCUCCUUCAUUUCAAUAUAAGAAUAUUUAGACAUCUAUCUUCUAACCAGAAGCAUAAAUUAUAUCUAUGUCUAUUUUCCUUCCUUGGCUUGACAAGUUCCUGGACAAUUAAGAUUGGGAGUAAAGAACAUACAAUAACGCCUUGUAAAUGUUUUCCUCUUAUACACACAUCCUGUGUAAGAAAAAGAGUGCAUAACAAAUUCUUCAUGCCCUUUCCCUCUUUC